AUUAUACUCCAACGGCUCAUUUGCACAUCUACUGGGGAGCUCUAUAAAUAUUGUCCCCAUGGAGACCAUUAUAGACAGUAGAAAAAUCACUGUCUAAUUAAUGACAUAGCCAAAUUAUGACAUUACAGCAGCAAGAAAAAAAUUCCCAAAAUUGAUGAGACUGUAUGAAUGUAAAGUUGUACUCUACUUGCUCAGCUGGGCCACCUGGUACUCAUGUCUACUCCCGAUGUGCUCCAGGCCCUUGGAGGGUAGCUACCUAAUGGUGGCUACCUGGGCCUUCUAGCAGACAGUCACAUUUCACCCGCUCAUCCUACAUCACCUCAAUGCCACUAGGCACUCAAGCCUUCCACCCUCAGGCCUCUUUGACCAAAGCAACACUUCCUGAUUCUCUGCCCCCUUGUCACAUAGGGAGCUGGUUGUGGAUUACCUGGCUGUCCUCCGCAUGUCACAGAAUGACCAGUCUUCUCCCCUUCUCUGCCAAUUGGUACCCACCAGAUGCUCUUCCCACUUCUCUCAGUUGCCCUAAGACAGAAGACUUGGGGGUAGAGGUGAAGACACAGCAGAAAUGGGAUGUCAGAUAACAGUCUGCAAGGAUGGAUCGCCGGAAUCAGGGACCAUACAAAUUACACGGUUUCCGUGACAACUGGCUGCCAGUUUGAAUUAAGACAGCAGUCAGUUGUCCCUGAUUGCCAUAACAAAGCCCCUGACUCUGGACACAAGUGUACCUACUGCUUUCUAACCAAAUAGACUUGAGCCAGUUCCUGACAUAAACCAUCCAGAAAGGCAGUUCCCAGUUGCUUCUAUAUCCUGGAAUCCCAACCGUGACUGGAUCACCUCUUCCUGUCGCAGACUCUCCGACAGCCUUGAUAGAGCACUUAGGAUGAUACAGGGCCCAUGAAGUGAUAGGCCCUCCCAUAGACACCAGAGAGCAGAAGCCCAAAGUAUUGCUUGGUGCCCUGUCGCCCUGCCUCACCCUGACAAUUCUUCUCAUAUUACUGCUUCUCCUUGCAUCAUGCCAAUUCAUUCCUUUAUGACUCUACAGACACUGUUUCCCUUGGUCUAUUCCAGAGUUGCCACGGAUACAGUCCUAGGGUAAGGUGCUUGGGACUUGUGCCUACCUGAUCCAUCUGGGGACAGUAAGUUCAUGAAGAACCUAAGAGGCCCCAGGGGGCUGGAGGAAUGGCUCAGCAGUUAAGAGCACUUGUUGCUUCUGUAGAAGACCCAAGUACCAGACAUGCAUGUGGUACACAUGUAUACAUGCAGGCAAACCACUCAUACACAUAAAAUAAAUCUUUUUCGAAAAUUUGAAAAGAAGAUGCAUAAAGAAGAGACCUUCUCAACUGGCAUGGACUUGGGCAUUGGGGUUGUCCCCACCCACACUGGACUUCUGGCCUGCCUUAGUCACACUCAGAAACAGUCAGAGGGGUCUUUAUCCAGUGUCCAAUAGACUUUUUUUGAUUUCUUGGGAAGAGGAAAAAGAACAGGAAGAUGUAAAGAAAAGCCAGUCACUUUUUCAAGAAAUGAAUCGCUCAUAUGAAUGAUCGAAGCUGUACAGUAUUUGUCAGUGUUUUGUUUUCUGUAAAAUUCAAAUACAUAUAAAAGUUUAUUUAAAUAAAUGUUUUGAAAAUGAAAUCCUCCUCGCACGUUGGAUUGAGUCACUGGCUUACCGCUGAGAUAUUAUUCUCACACAGAAUUGACAGAAGCAGAGGCUCUUCCUGCCUGGUCCCUGGCCUCCUAGAAUCUCAGGUCUGAGGACCAGAAAUGUGGCAUCUCUCCCUUCUACGCAAAGCAGGCGACUUUGGAAGCUGAACUGAGCAACAACGGCUGCAGAAAACAUACUGAUGUUCCCUGGCGACACUUAGAAAACAUUUCUCCACUGAAGUCCAUGUCUUUCAUAGGAAAAGGAAGAAAUAACCUUUGGGUUAAUCUGGUGCUAAGAAACAAAGGACCAAGGGACACAGAUACCUGUGUCUAUGUGCAUGUAUUUAUAUAAGCACAUUUAUCCUUUUUCUAAGUCAACCACAACUUUGCCCUAGUUAGAAAAUGAAAUGACUUGGAUGCUCUUGAUUCCUUUCCCAACAAUGCUUACCUAGAGUGCGGGCCAACAGAAACAAGAUGGUGAAAUGUUCCCGACUGGCACUGCCCAAUCUGGUACUAUUAGCCACAUGUGGCUCUGUUCAUUAAAAUUAAAUUAGAUUAAAAGUCCAGAGCUCAAUUAUGCCAGCCAUAUUUCAAGCACUCAAUAGCCACCCUAUGGCUAGGAACACCACCCUGAAUGGCAGAGGCUAGCAUCUUGUGGAAAGAGUAAUUCAGUGUUAGUGAACAGCUGCGCUGUUUAACGGAAGCUUGAGAAGGAAGACCCACGGCGCAGCUGCACACUUCCUGUCUUGCCCAAGGCAGGCUGUUUCGCAGUUUCGGCUGAUCCUUCAGCUUUUCUCCUAUCACUACAAAGCUAUGACAACCAGGGGACAGAGUAUUUUCAUUCAACCUGCUAUUCAAGUCUCUAGAAUAUUGCGAAAGUUUCUGAUGCAGAGGAGGGGCCGCCCAGAGGCGAUAGUGCAACUCCCAGGCAUCUCAUUGGCUCACCACCCUUCCAGCUCCAUCAGCUCUGCCUGCUCAGGCUCACCCACACUCGGAGCGUUAGGACAGAGUUGCGCAAUGCAACCAUCCAUUAGCAUUCUCAACUGACUGGAGUACUCUGCUGCCUGCUUGCCCUUUGCCCUUAAGAUUAUUCUUGAAUUCAAAGUCACAGGCACACAAGCUUGAACAGCAGCAGCAACAAAACUCCCUUCGGACAACUUACUGUAUCGGUCAUAGGUUCAACUUAUUGAAUUGUUUUCAGAUUCCCAUGGGGCCAAGCAUCACGAUUUAUUCAGUAAUGGCAGGGCAUGCAUAUCAAAGGAUUUUAGCUCUUUCGAGGUGCCAAGUCCACUGAGCCCAUACUACAGUAUUUGUCCUGAAGGGUCACAACUGGCCUAAAGGAACAAACCACAACCAUAUAACGUGUUUGUCACUUUCCCAGAGGGACACAUCCACCAAGACUAGCAUCAAGUCAGGCUGGCAAAGAGUUGCACUGGGUGAGCGGAGAAAGGAUGCUAUUGGCAGAAUAGACGAGAGUCCCUGAGCACCGAGGGCUGGGGCUGAGGACUAGGGCUGUCCAGAUCCUGGGACCCACACCAGUUCUCACAUGUAAUUUAUGCCUGUGAUGUUACCUCCAUAUUAAAACUUAUCUUCAGAAAUUAAAUGGAGAAAU
rnacentral:lncRNA from 1 species